rnacentral:lncRNA from 1 species
UGCUGCCUCCCUGGCACUCAGGGCACCAGGACGCUUGUUUGCAGAGCUGGCGGCCAGCAGCUUGGAGCAGCUGGUUGUAAUUAUGCACUGCAGCUUCAGAGGAAGUUUCUGGCUGGGAGAGCGUGUGCUGGGCCUGGCUGCACAUUGGCUGCUGGGCUUCAGGGAACAAAGGAGCUAGAAACCAGUGGCAGCGGAGAACACUCGGAGGAGCAGGACCCGGGUGAAGGCAGGCAAAAAGAAAGGACAGGGUCUCUCACUGGACCAGGAACUCCACGAUGAGCUAUUGAGCAAACCUACAGAUCCUCUCAUCUCUAACUCCCCAGUGUCGGAUUACUGCCGUGCUAUCACGCUCAGCUUUCUACAGGAGUGCUGGUGACCAAGCUCAUGCCUUCCUGUCCCUGGAGCAGGAGCCAUACAGACCGGGCCAUCUCUUCAGCAUCCCCAAUCACUUUCAUUUUGAUCCCUCCUGAUGUAGAGAGAAUAAACCUCCAUGUCAGAGGGAACAGGGUUUGAGUCUAUUAGCAUGCACCUCUGACAAGUUGCUCACUGCUCUUCCUCGCUCUAAGAAGUGGCUAGUGAUACACACGCCUACAGUUGAUGGGUGCUUAGACUAAAUCAUGGAGUCCAGCACUCUUUAGUAUUAGGUUCCAUACUUGGAAAAUAGCAGGCGGAACAUUGUAAUUCUGUCCCCAUGGGGCUGCAAUUAAUUUAUAAUUACAAAUACAGAGACUGUAAUUAAUUAAGCUCAACCGUCGAUUAGGAUGUACACCUACAAUAGCACCUUGAUUUUACAUGUGGCUGUCAACAGAGCAAGCUCUCCUCCCUGGGUUUUUUUUUUUUUUAAAGAUUUAUUUAUAUGUAAGUACAAUGUAGCUGUCUUCAGACACUUUUUUCUUAUCUCCCCACUCAUUCCCGCCCUCCUCCCUGUUUAUUCACAGCAAAUGGUCACACAGAAUCUGAUGUAUGGAAAAGUAGACAAUAGGAGUCCCAUCCAAGCUCCAGGCUUCCAUAUGACUCAAGAUCAUAUGGGUCCCAUCCCCACCUGUCACCAGCUCAACUCAGAUUAGAAGGUCAGGGAGCCCUGCCUGAUGCCUAGCACAGGUCAGUCUUCUGAUCACGGCAUGUGGGCACUCAAUCCAUGGCCCCUAGGGUCUUGAGGGUGAUAGACUUUGAUGGGUUUACUGAUUUAAUUUCUAGUUCCUUCUGGAAACAUCUGCAGGGACACUACAGAAAUAACGUGUUACUAGCUAUUUGGGUGUCUAUCAGAGAUGUGCCUCAGCCCUAACUUGGAAGUUUGAGAAGAUGGCAUUAAUUUCAAGUCCAUGAGCAGCACAUGACUACCAGUGAACCAAUCACUAUGAUGCAAUGGGCAUCAGGUAGACUUGAGAAGUCAGAAGUCUGUGUACCCCAAGAUCCAUGGGCAGAGGCAUUCCUACAUACACUAUGUGGAAAGAACAUUAUGUUGGAGAUUUGCCAGUGUUACUCAGAAUAAAGAACAUUUUAGGAGUCUGUACAGCGAACCCACGUUGUCUACCUAGUGUAUUGGUUAGGUCCAGUCAGGUAGCAGAACCCAUCUCAACUGUGUUACCAGAGCAAAUAGAACAUGCGAUGGAUCUCAUACUUAGACAGUGCCAGGGUGGUAGCUAAUUAUCUCUGGACUGUCAGUGAAAGUGUUCCAGAAGAGAUCAGCACGCACAUCAUAAGACUCAGUAAAGGAGACAGCCCUCACCUGUUCUGGGAGACAUCACCCAAUCCCCUGAAAAAACAUAGAACAGAAGGUAAGGGAGUAAGGAGCCUCUCUCUGCUGGAGCUGGGACCCCAUUGCUCCAUGACCUCCCUGGCUACUGGGACUCCAUCCCUCCUGGCCUGCCAGGACCCCUCCUUCCCUACCUGGCCUGCUGGGAUCCCACCCCUCCCUGCCCUCAGAAAUUGAUGCUUCUGGUUUGGGGAUCUUUAGACUUGUAAUGAGUGACAUUGCAAACCCUCCUGGACUUCAGCUGGUAGACAGUAGUUCAUGGAGCAUCUUAGCCUCCACACCUGCGGGAAUAAAUCCCUCAUGUGAAAUAACUCUCUCCGUGCUCCUAUACACACAUAUAGCUAGGUAUAAAUGAUACAGAUAUCAUUUAUAGAUAUAGAUUAUACAUGUGGAUGAUACAGAUCAUAUAUGAGCUUGAAACCAUAUGUCCAGAAUCCAGAUUGUAGAAAGAGAGAACUGAUUCUGGCAACGUGUCUUCUGACCAUGUCACGCGUCUGUGAAAUCACAUACACACACAAAGUAAAAUAAAUGUGAACCA